rnacentral:rRNA from 1 species
UACGUAGGGUGCGAGCGUUAAUCGGAAUUACUGGGCGUAAAGCGUGCGCAGGCGGUUAUAUAAGACAGUUGUGAAAUCCCCGGGCUCAACCUGGGAAUUGCAUCUGUGACUGUAUAGCUAGAGUACGGUAGAGGGGGAUGGAAUUCCGCGUGUAGCAGUGAAAUGCGUAGAUAUGCGGAGGAACACCGAUGGCGAAGGCAAUCCCCUGGACCCGUACUGACGCUCAUGCACGAAAGCGUGGGGAGCAAACAGG